rnacentral:rRNA from 1 species
CACCGGCGGCUCGAGUGGUGGCCGCUUUUAUUGGGCUUAAAGGGUCCGUAGCCGGGCCAGUUAGUCCUCUGGGAAAUCUUACGGCUUAACCGUAAGGCUGCCAAAGGAUACUGCUGGCCUUGGGACCGGGAGAGGCAAGAGGUACCUCAGGGGUAGGAGUGAAAUCCUGUAAUCCUUGAGGGACCGCCAGUGGCGAAGGCGUCUUGCUAGAACGGGUCCGACGGUGAGGGACGAAAGCUAGGGGC